rnacentral:lncRNA from 1 species
ACACUGACCAUGGACCUGGGCAGCUGAGUAGAGAGGUGCUUUGAGCUCUCUUCACCCGUCUCAUCUGCACAGGACACCAACAGGUGCUGCCUUGUUACCACCAUGCCGGAAGUAGGAAAUCUAAGAUCACUGCCUCCCGUAAACUCAUGCUGAAGAGCCUGAUGCUAGCCAAGGCCAAGGAGUGCUGGGAGCAGGAGCACGAGGAGCGAGAGGCUGAGAAGGUGCGUUACCUCUCGGAGCGCAUCCCUACGCUGCAGACCCGCGGUCUUUCCCUCAGCGCCCUUCAGGACUUAUGCCGAGAGCUCCAUGCCAAGGUGGAGGUGGUGGAUGAGGAGCGCUAUGAUAUCGAAGCCAAAUGCCUCCACAACACGAGAGAGAUCAAGGACCUGAAGCUGAAGGUGCUGGACCUCCGUGGGAAGUUCAAGCGUCCACCCCUGCGCCGGGUCCGUGUCUCAGCCGACGCCAUGCUCCGAGCCCUACUGGGUUCCAAACACAAGGUGUCCAUGGAUCUGCGGGCCAACCUCAAGUCUGUGAAGAAAGAAGACACAGAAAAGGAGCGGCCAGUGGAGGUGGGAGACUGGAGGAAGAACGUGGAGGCCAUGUCUGGCAUGGAAGGCCGCAAGAAGAUGUUCGAUGCUGCCAAGUCCCCAACCUCGCAGUAGAGGUCGGCUUGCUGAAUGGCACUCUGGGUCACGCUUUGGUCCCCUUCCAGCCCCACUCACCUAUCCUUCUGCCCAUGCCUGGAGCCCUUCCUCCCUCCAGCUCUACUAUGCCCACCUUUGAAGCCAGGAUGAGUGCACACAGAGGGGAAGAGAGACGCUG